rnacentral:lncRNA from 1 species
UCUCCAUAUUCCAUGCAUCCCUUCCCUGGGCUCUCCAUCCCCCCUGUACCCCAUCCCUGGGCUCUGCACCACCCAUGCACCCCAUUCCCAGUGUUUCCAUCUCCCUGCAUCCCAUGGCUGCCAUCUCCAUCACCCCAUUCCCAGGGUUUCCAUCUCCCUGGAUCCCAUGGCUGCCACCUCCAUCACCCCAUUCCCAGGGUUUCCAUCUCCCUGCAUCCCAUGGCUGCCAUCCCCAUCACCCCAUUCCCAGUGUUUCCAUGUCCCUGCAUCCCAUGGCUGCCAUCCCCAUCACCCCAUUCCCAGUGUUUCCAUCUCCCUGCAUCCCAUGGCUGCCAUCUCCAUCACCCCAUUCCCAGGGUUUCCAUCUCCCUGCAUCCCAUGGCUGCCAUCUCCAUCACCCCAUUCCCAGUGUUUCCAUCUCCCUGCAUCCCAUGGCUGCCGUCUCCAUCAUCCCAUUCCCAGUGUUUCCAUCUCCCUGCAUCCCAUGGCUGCUGUCUCCAUCACCCCAUUCCCGGUGUUUCCAUCUCCCUGCAUCCCAUGGCUGCCAUCCCCAUCACCCCAUUCCUAGCCUGUCCAACCCCAUUCCUCAUUCCUUGGCUCUCCAUUCCCUCCAGCCCAGCCUCGGGCUCUCCAUGCUCCUGGCCUGGCAUUGUCUCUCCAUCCAUUGUGUGCCCCACUCCCCAUCCCCGUGCACCCCAUCCUUGGCCUCUCCAUCCUCCGUGACCCUCAUUCCCCGCUCUCCAUCCUCUCUACUCCAUCCCUGGGCUGACACCCCGUUCCCAGCCUUUCCAUCCGAGCCUUUCCGUGCCCUGGCCCCCCAUUCCCGGGCUGGCCGUGCCCUCCAGCCCCGCGGGGCCGGGAUGCGGGGGGGCUUUUCCCUUUUCCCUGCCCCCCGAGCGGCGGCUGCCCGGGAAUUAGGUCAGGGCAGCGCAGCCGAGGCUAAUCGGCCCCGGCGGAUUGAGCCCGGGAGGCGAUGCCGGCUGUGCCCUGCUGCCACCGGGAUGUGCCCUGCGCCUGGCACCGAGCCCUCCGCUCCCCCGGUGUCCCCAUGCCAUCGGUGUCACCCCCCUCAAACACCCGCAGUCCCCCCAGGCGUCAACACCGCGUCCCCCGAGGGUGCUCCGAGGGGC